rnacentral:rRNA from 1 species
AUGCUAACCUCGCUGAGGACAUUGAUUGUAAAAGAAUCAGUUGGUCUAGUUGGACCACUAGGAGGAGGUCAGAGUGAUGUGGAAUGGCAGCUCCCUGUUGAGUAUAUCAAGAUCUACAAAUUAAAUGGUAAUACUGGCAAGGAACUGACAGAGCUCCUCCCCCACCUCCCAAAGCUCUCCAAAUUGGUAAUAUGGUGGUGUAAAAGCAUAAAAAAGCUGGUAGUGGGGGUGGAUGUGCAACAAACAACACAAGAAGCAUCAGAGAUGCAGCAGCAGAGGAAGAGGAUGAUGGGGUGCUGCUCCUCCCAGCUCAUCUCUGUGACUCACUACGGGAAUUGUGGUUCAAUUACUGCCCAGAGCUGGUCCUGGUUGACCCUCCAACUCUUGUUCCUGGUGGAGGAUGGCUCCAAGCCUUGCGAUCCCUCCAGAGAUUAA